GCCUUUAUAGCUCAGUGGUAGAGCGCGCCACUCGUAUGUUAGAGAUAAUGGUGAGGUCGGUUGUUCAAUCCAGCCUGGAGGCA